rnacentral:lncRNA from 1 species
GCAAUCUAUCAAUGCCUCAAAGUAUCAUGAAUGAUCUAUUGAUCAACCAUUAAUAGGUUUGAAACAUUUAAGAUUUAAUCAACUCUAAACAACCAUGGUCAUGAUCUAAUAGACCUCAUUAACCAAACAAAUAUAACAACAAGUCCACAAUAAAAGAAAAUGAUAACAAAAAUAAAGCAAGACUAAAAAAGGUGAAUAAAAAUGUAGUAAGAGCAAAAAAAACUCAAAAAAAGUGUGUAAACCAAAGUUAAC